rnacentral:misc_RNA from 1 species
GAUGAAGAACGCAGCGAAAUGCGAUAAGUAAUGCGAAUUGCAGAAUUUCCGUGAAUCAUCGAAUCUUUGAACGCACAUUGCGCCCGCCAGUAUUCUGGCGGGCAUGCCUGUCUGAGCGUCAUUUCAACCCUCAUGCCCCUAGGGCGUGGUGUUGGGGAUCGGCCAAAGCCCGCGAGGGACGGCCGGCCCCUAAAUCUAGUGGCGGACCCGUCGUGGCCUCCUCUGCGAAGUAGUGAUAUUCCGCAUCGGAGAGCGAUGAGCCCCUGCCGUUAAACCCCCAACUUUCCAAGGUUGACCUCAGAUCAGGUAGGAAUACCCGCUGAACUUAAGCAUAUCAAUAAGCGGAGGA